rnacentral:rRNA from 1 species
GGGUUGUGAGGUUAAGCGACUAAGCGUACACGGUGGAUGCCCUGGCAGUCAGAGGCGAUGAAGGACGUGCUAAUCUGCGAUAAGCGUCGGUAAGGUGAUAUGAACCGUUAUAACCGGCGAUUUCCGAAUGGGGAAACCCAGUGUGUUUCGACACACUAUCAUUAACUGAAUCCAUAGGUUAAUGAGGCGAACCGGGGGAACUGAAACAUCUAAGUACCCCGAGGAAAAGAAAUCAACCGAGAUUCCCCCAGUAGCGGCGAGCGAACGGGGAGCAGCCCAGAGCCUGAAUCAGUGUGUGUGUUAGUGGAAGCGUCUGGAAAGGCGCGCGAUACAGGGUGACAGCCCCGUACACAAAAAUGCACAUAUUGUGAGCUCGAUGAGUAGGGCGGGACACGUGGUAUCCUGUCUGAAUAUGGGGGGACCAUCCUCCAAGGCUAAAUACUCCUGACUGACCGAUAGUGAACCAGUACCGUGAGGGAAAGGCGAAAAGAACCCCGGCGAGGGGAGUGAAAAAGAACCUGAAACCGUGUACGUACAAGCAGUGGGAGCCUCUUUUAUGGGGUGACUGCGUACCUUUUGUAUAAUGGGUCAGCGACUUAUAUUCUGUAGCAAGGUUAACCGAAUAGGGGAGCCGAAGGGAAACCGAGUCUUAACUGGGCGUUAAGUUGCAGGGUAUAGACCCGAAACCCGGUGAUCUAGCCAUGGGCAGGUUGAAGGUUGGGUAACACUAACUGGAGGACCGAACCGACUAAUGUUGAAAAAUUAGCGGAUGACUUGUGGCUGGGGGUGAAAGGCCAAUCAAACCGGGAGAUAGCUGGUUCUCCCCGAAAGCUAUUUAGGUAGCGCCUCGUGAAUUCAUCUCCGGGGGUAGAGCACUGUUUCGGCAAGGGGGUCAUCCCGACUUACCAACCCGAUGCAAACUGCGAAUACCGGAGAAUGUUAUCACGGGAGACACACGGCGGGUGCUAACGUCCGUCGUGAAGAGGGAAACAACCCAGACCGCCAGCUAAGGUCCCAAAGUCAUGGUUAAGUGGGAAACGAUGUGGGAAGGCCCAGACAGCCAGGAUGUUGGCUUAGAAGCAGCCAUCAUUUAAAGAAAGCGUAAUAGCUCACUGGUCGAGUCGGCCUGCGCGGAAGAUGUAACGGGGCUAAACCAUGCACCGAAGCUGCGGCAGCGACGCUGAUGCGUUGUUGGGUAGGGGAGCGUUCUGUAAGCCUGUGAAGGUGUACUGUGAGGUAUGCUGGAGGUAUCAGAAGUGCGAAUGCUGACAUAAGUAACGAUAAAGCGGGUGAAAAGCCCGCUCGCCGGAAGACCAAGGGUUCCUGUCCAACGUUAAUCGGGGCAGGGUGAGUCGACCCCUAAGGCGAGGCCGAAAGGCGUAGUCGAUGGGAAACAGGUUAAUAUUCCUGUACUUGGUGUUACUGCGAAGGGGGGACGGAGAAGGCUAUGUUGGCCGGGCGACGGUUGUCCCGGUUUAAGCGUGUAGGCUGGUUUUCCAGGCAAAUCCGGAAAAUCAAGGCUGAGGCGUGAUGACGAGGCACUACGGUGCUGAAGCAACAAAUGCCCUGCUUCCAGGAAAAGCCUCUAAGCAUCAGGUAACAUUGAAUCGUACCCCAAACCGACACAGGUGGUCAGGUAGAGAAUACCAAGGCGCUUGAGAGAACUCGGGUGAAGGAACUAGGCAAAAUGGUGCCGUAACUUCGGGAGAAGGCACGCUGAUAUGUAGGUGAAGUCCCUCGCGGAUGGAGCUGAAAUCAGUCGAAGAUACCAGCUGGCUGCAACUGUUUAUUAAAAACACAGCACUGUGCAAACACGAAAGUGGACGUAUACGGUGUGACGCCUGCCCGGUGCCGGAAGGUUAAUUGAUGGGGUCAGCGCAAGCGAAGCUCUUGAUCGAAGCCCCGGUAAACGGCGGCCGUAACUAUAACGGUCCUAAGGUAGCGAAAUUCCUUGUCGGGUAAGUUCCGACCUGCACGAAUGGCGUAAUGAUGGCCAGGCUGUCUCCACCCGAGACUCAGUGAAAUUGAACUCGCUGUGAAGAUGCAGUGUACCCGCGGCAAGACGGAAAGACCCCGUGAACCUUUACUAUAGCUUGACACUGAACAUUGAGCCUUGAUGUGUAGGAUAGGUGGGAGGCUUAGAAGUGUGGACGCCAGUCUGCAUGGAGCCGACCUUGAAAUACCACCCUUUAAUGUUUGAUGUUCUAACGUUGACCCGUGAUCCGGGUUGCGGACAGUGUCUGGUGGGUAGUUUGACUGGGGCGGUCUCCUCCUAAAGAGUAACGGAGGAGCACGAAGGUUGGCUAAUCCUGGUCGGACAUCAGGAGGUUAGUGCAAUGGCAUAAGCCAGCUUGACUGCGAGCGUGACGGCGCGAGCAGGUGCGAAAGCAGGUCAUAGUGAUCCGGUGGUUCUGAAUGGAAGGGCCAUCGCUCAACGGAUAAAAGGUACUCCGGGGAUAACAGGCUGAUACCGCCCAAGAGUUCAUAUCGACGGCGGUGUUUGGCACCUCGAUGUCGGCUCAUCACAUCCUGGGGCUGAAGUAGGUCCCAAGGGUAUGGCUGUUCGCCAUUUAAAGUGGUACGCGAGCUGGGUUUAGAACGUCGUGAGACAGUUCGGUCCCUAUCUGCCGUGGGCGCUGGAGAACUGAGGGGGGCUGCUCCUAGUACGAGAGGACCGGAGUGGACGCAUCACUGGUGUUCGGGUUGUCAUGCCAAUGGCACUGCCCGGUAGCUAAAUGCGGAAGAGAUAAGUGCUGAAAGCAUCUAAGCACGAAACUUGCCCCGAGAUGAGUUCUCCCUGACCCUUUAAGGGUCCUGAAGGAACGUUGAAGACGACGACGUUGAUAGGCCGGGUGUGUAAGCGCAGCGAUGCGUUGAGCUAACCGGUACUAAUGAACCGUGAGGCUUAACCUUACAACGCCGAAGGUGUUU